rnacentral:rRNA from 1 species
UACGUAGGGCGCAAGCGUUAUCCGGAAUUAUUGGGCGUAAAGAGCUCGUAGGCGGUUUGUCGCGUCUGCUGUGAAAGACCGAGGCUUAACUUCGGUUCUGCAGUGGGUACGGGCAGACUAGAGUGAUGUAGGGGAGACUGGAAUUCCUGGUGUAGCGGUGAAAUGCGCAGAUAUCAGGAGGAACACCGGUGGCGAAGGCGGGUCUCUGGGCAGUAACUGACGCUGAGGAGCGAAAGCAUGGGGAGCGAACAGG